UACGGAGGGUGCAAGCGUUAUCCGGAUUCACUGGGUUUAAAGGGUGCGUAGGUGGCUUUGUAAGUCAGUGGUGAAAUCUCGGAGCUUAACUCCGAAACUGCCAUUGAUACUGCUUAGCUUGAAUCAAGUAGAGGUGGAUGGAAUAUUACAUGUAGCGGUGAAAUGCUUAGAUAUGUAAUAGAACACCGAUUGCGAAGGCAGUUCACUAGGCGUGUAUUGACACUGAGGCUCGAAAGCGUGGGGAUCAAACAGG
rnacentral:rRNA from 1 species